CAGGACCACUCCGAUCAUUGAUUCCCAUAUAUAGCACAUGCAUUCACCGUGUCUCUGCGUCGAGAUCUAGAGCUUCAACCUUAAGAUUUUCAGCUUGACAAUGGCGUCAACUGCUUCCUCUCCUAACCUUUCUAUCCGCAAAACCUUCAUCACCACACAGCAAACACCCACUUUCAAAACUGCCUUUCCCAUCUUCACUAUUAACCAAACGCCAAACACUCACCGCUCUCUCU
rnacentral:misc_RNA from 1 species